UACGUAGGGGGCAAGCGUUGUCCGGAUUUAUUGGGCGUAAAGAGCGUGUAGGCGGCCAGAUAGGUCUGCUGUGAAAACUCGAGGCUCAACCUCGAGAUGUCGGCGGAAACCAUUUGGCUAGAGUCCGGAAGAGGAAAGUGGAAUUCCUGGUGUAGCGGUGAAAUGCGCAGAUAUCAGGAAGAACACCCGUGGCGAAGGCGGCUUCUGU
rnacentral:rRNA from 1 species